rnacentral:rRNA from 1 species
ACCCGUUGAUCCUGCGGGAGAUUGCUGCUAUUCGGAUUCGACUUAGCCAUGCAAGUCAAGGGGGCUCUUCGGAGCAACCGGCAAAAUGCUGAGUAACACGUUGUUAAUCUGCCCAUUAGUCUGGAAUAGCCUUGGGAAACUGAGGGUAAUGCCGGAUAAAAUAUACAAUCUGGAAUGAUGUAUAUUACAAAGAUUACGCUAAUGGAUGAGACAGCGGCUGAUUAGGUAGUUGGUAGGGUAAUGGCCUACCAAGCCUGUGAUCAGUAGGGGCCAUGAAAGUGGUAGCCCCCAGAAGGACACUGAGAUACUGGUCCUAGCCCUACGGGGUGCAGCAGGCGCGGAACCUUUACAAUGCACGAAAGUGUGAUAAGGGGAUCCGAAGUGCUUAUGGAAACAUAGGCUUUUUUUUAAGAGUAAAUAUCUUAGAGAAUAAGUGGUGGGCAAGACUGGUGCCAGCAGCCGCGGUAACACCAGCGCCACGAGUGGCAAUCGCAUAUUGGGCCUAAAGCGUCCGUAGUUGGUUUGAUAAGUUUCUUGUGAAAUUGUUCUGCUCAACAGAACAGCGUGCAGGGAAAACUGUCUUACUAGGAACCGGGAGGAGUUAGGAGUAUUUUGGGGGGAGCGGUAAAAUGUUAUAAUCCCCGAAGGACUACCUGUGGCGAAGGCGCCUAACUAGAACGGAUUCGACAAUGAGGGACGAAGGCCAGGGGAGCAAACCGGAUUAGAUACCCGAGUAGUCCUGGCAGUAAACUCUGCGAGCUAGGUGUUGCGUGUUCUAUUGGAACAUGCAGUAUCGAAGCGAAGGCGAUAAGCUCGCCGCCUGGGAAGUACGGUCGCAAGACUGAAACUUAAAGGAAUUGGCGGGGGAGCACCACAACGGUGCGGCGUGCGGUUUAAUCUAACUCCACACAGAGAAUCUCACCAGAGGCGACGGCAGGAUGAUGAUCGCGUUUAAGACGCUAUCGGACGAGCCGAGAGGUAGUGCAUGGCCGUCGUAAGCUCGUGCCGUAAGGUGUCCUGUUAAGUCAGGCAACGAGCGAGACCUACGCCUACAAUUGGUAACAGCAACCACGGUUGGACUGAUCACAUUGUAGGGACUGCGUGUGAAAACACGAGGAAGGUGUAGGCAACGGUAGGUCUGUAUGCUCCGAAUCCUUUGGGCUACAUGCGCGCAACAAUGGCUGUGACAAUGGGAUGCUACUCCGAAAGGAGACGCUAAUCCUUCAAACGCAGUCUUAGUACAGAUUGAGGGUUGUAACUCACCCUCAUGACGCUGGAAUCCGUAGUAAUCAGACUUCAUCAGAGUCCGGUGAAUACGUCCCUGCUCCUUGCACACACCGCCCGUCAAACCACUCGAGUGGAGUUUACGUGAGCGCUAGUUUUUUGACUAAUUCGAACGUAGGCUUCAUGAGAAGGGUUAAGUCGUCACAAGGUA